GCUCGCGAUCGCGGUGUUCCGCAGGGCGCCGCCGGUGAGGUCGGCGGCGACGACCGUGUACACGGAGGUGCAGGUGGUGCGGUCGCCGGCCGCGAGGACC
rnacentral:tRNA from 1 species